rnacentral:piRNA from 1 species
UGUUUUAAUGAUUUAUAUGUC